rnacentral:rRNA from 1 species
AGCGAACGCUGGCGGCAGGCCUAACACAUGCAAGUCGAACGAACCUUUCGGGGUUAGUGGCGGACGGGUGAGUAACACGUGGGAACGUGCCUUUAGGUUCGGAAUAACACAGGGAAACUUGUGCUAAUACCGAAUGUGCCCUUCGGGGGAAAGAUUUAUCGCCUUUAGAGCGGCCCGCGUCUGAUUAGCUAGUUGGUUGAGGUAAUGGCUCACCAAGGCGACGAUCAGUAGCUGGUCUGAGAGGAUGAUCAGCCACAUUGGGACUGAGACACGGCCCAAACUCCUACGGGAGGCAGCAGUGGGGAAUCUUGCGCAAUGGGCGAAAGCCUGACGCAGCCAUGCCGCGUGAAUGAUGAAGGUCUUAGGAUUGUAAAGUUCUUUCACCGGGGACGAUAAUGACGGUACCCGGAGAAGAAGCCCCGGCUAACUUCGUGCCAGCCGCCGCCGUAA